rnacentral:rRNA from 1 species
GACCUCGGAUCAGGUAGGGAUACCCGCUGAACUUAU